AGAGGAUUUCCUAAACUACCUUUUCAAAUAUAAUUUUUUUAUUAAUUGGUAUUAGAAAACCAAUCAUCACAGAUUGAUGCACCAAGUUAUCAGAAAGAGGAGUCCCAUUACCCUGAUACUUAGCUGUCUCUCCACAUCCUGAGAACCAGGGGGCAGACUAACCCGUCAAGCCCCACAGAUCUGGUGGGGAUAGUAAAAUGGCAGACAGGGUCUCCAUCUUAAAGGUCUAUUAGAAAUCAAAACAAGCAUCUUUAAAAUCAUAAGAGGUGCUCAUGGGAAAUGGGUUUGAGUGUCAAAGUUGGCUAACACGUGGUUUCUGCAGGAGUCCCUCUGCGUUAGAAAUUAAGGCAGACAAGCACGUGGCUGCCUGGAACCACUGGAGGAGGCCAUCAGCCCACGAUGGCCUAAAGCUCCACGUCAAGUGAACAAGAAGAAAGACUGUCCAGAAAGAGGGAGCGGCACAGGCAGAGGCAUGGAGAGUGAGCAGGAUCCCAAGGAAGGCCCAGAUCUGAUGGCUGAAUGUGCUCAAUUCCAAGGGCAUUUGACCAAUGUCCUGCGGUAACCAAUGAAGCAUCCCAGCUCACCUGCAGCCACGCUGCACACGAUAGGCUGGUCCAGGAUGAGGGAUGCCAAGGGGCUCACCCAACUCAGAAGCACCCCCAAAGUUCCCUGCCAGCCACCUGUUUUUCCAGUUAGAAACACUCCCUCUCUUCAGCCGCACCCUGCCCCGGGCCCCAGCAGGUACUCAUAACCAAACAAUUGCCCCAAGUGAAGCCGUCAAGGCCUUUGAAUUCCACAAAUCUGCAGCUGACAAGAGCAACCCUGGCUUCCUGUUGGGGUCAGCCCGGUGUGGGGAAGAAGGAUAGGGAUAAUGGGGUGGGCUACAUCCCCCUCCCAGUAGCCACAGCUCCUGCCAGGAAGCCCUCUCCACACCAGUUCCUUUCCAGGUUCUGGAAACCUCGCCCUCUCCACCCCUUUAAACCUGGGAACAGUGAAGCUCCCUGCAGCUGCCAGCCCCAGGACACAGUCUUAUUCUCUGAAAGCUUCCCUGGUUAGGUUGUUGCAAAGAAUCCCUCCGUUGUAAACUUGCUGCAAACUCCUGGUUUGGAGUGAACCAUCUGCCUCCCGCUGGGACUCUGAUGCCUCCUGGGAGGUGCUGGUUAUCACCAAGAGCCUCACUGUUCCUACAACUGACUGCACAAUGGAGAGUGUCAGCAAACUGUUCUCUGAGGAGCUUGGCUGCAGCAUAAACACGGCACUCCUUAGAGACACGGUCCACUCGCUUCAGCUCCUCCCUACUCGGUGACAGAUUGCACCUGCCGCAGUCGAGUGUUAGGGCAUUCUAACUCACACCCACACCUUUUACUGACCCCAGACUAACCGGCCCUUUUAAGGGAAGCAAUGAACCUCCCAUGAAACCAUCACUUCCACACCUCCUUCCUG
rnacentral:lncRNA from 1 species